GGCAACGGCCGAGCGCCCCGCAAGGGGAGCGGCAGACGGGUGAGUAACGCGUGGGAACGUACCUUUUGCUACGGAAUAACUCAGGGAAACUUGUGCUAAUACCGUAUGUGCCCUUCGGGGGAAAGAUUUAUCGGCAAAGGAUCGGCCCGCGUUGGAUUAGCUAGUUGGUGAGGUAAAGGCUCACCAAGGCGACGAUCCAUAGCUGGUCUGAGAGGAUGAUCAGCCACACUGGGACUGAGACACGGCCCAGACUCCUACGGGAGGCAGCAGUGGGGAAUAUUGGACAAUGGGCGCAAGCCUGAUCCAGCCAUGCCGCGUGAGUGAUGAAGGCCCUAGGGUUGUAAAGCUCUUUCACCGGUGAAGAUAAUGACGGUAACCGGAGAAGAAGCCCCGGCUAACUUCGUGCCAGCAGCCGCGGUAAUACGAAGGGGGCUAGCGUUGNUCGGAUUACUGGGCGUAAAGCGCACGUAGGCGGACUUUUAAGUCAGGGGUGAAAUCCCGGGGCUCAACCCCCGGAACUGCCUUUGAUACUGGAAGUCUUGAGUAUGGUAGAGGUGAGUGGAAUUCCGAGUGUAGAGG
rnacentral:rRNA from 1 species